GGCGAUAUAGCUCAGUUGGUUAGAGCACGGGAUUCAUAACCCCGGGGUCGGCGGUUCAAAUCCACCUAUCGCCACCA
rnacentral:tRNA from 1 species